AAUGCACCAAUUUGUAAGUCGCUCUGGAUAACAGCGUCUGCUAAAUGUCUUAAA
rfam:Salmo salar isolate Sally breed double haploid chromosome ssa02, whole genome shotgun sequence.